GGACGGGCCGACAGGGACCGUCGUGCUCAUCGACAAGCCCAAAGGGUGGACCUCAUUUACUGUUUGUGGAAAACUACGGCGGUUGGUGAAAGUGCAAAAGGUUGGCCAUGAUGGUACUCUGGAUCCUAUGGCCACUGGAUUGUUGAUUGUUUGUGUGGGCAAAGCAACCAAAGUUGUUGAUAGAUAUCAAGGCAUGGUUAAAGGCUAUAGUGGUGUUUUCCGGCUUGGGGAAGCAACAUCAACCUGGGAUGCAGAUUCACCAGU